CACAAGGCUCUGACGAGCUCCACUCCUUGAGGGGGACAAUGGAAGAACUGUCCGUGGCCCUUGGGCAGGAGAAGGCCAAACUACAGUGACUGAAGAUUUAGCUGGCCUACGAGCAGCAGGCGAUCAAGGAUGCUGAGGCAGAGUCCGAGGUUCUGAAGAAGAGGCUUCGGGACUCAGAGGGUGAAAGCUGGUGGUUCCACCAGAUGUACCAGGAGAUGCUUUUAAGAAAGAAGAAACUGAAAAAAGAAGUCGAAAACUUAAAGCAAUCCCUGAC
rnacentral:lncRNA from 1 species